AUUGAACGCUGGCGGCAGGCCUAACACAUGCAAGUCGAGCGAGCGGCGGACGGGUGAGUAAUGUAUGGGGACUGCCCGAUAGAGGGGGAUAACUACUGGAAACGGUGGCUAAUACCGCCUACUCUCGGAUAACCCAUAUGGGAUUUGCUAGUGGGGGGGGUAAAGGCUCACCUAGGCGACGAUCUCCAGCUGGUCUGAGGGGAUGAUCAGCCACAUGGGAACUGAGACACGGCCCAGACUCCUACGGGGGCGGCAGUGGGGAAUAUUGCACAAUGGGCGAAAGCCUAAGGCAGCAAUGCCGCGUGUAUGAAGAAGGCCUUAGGGUUGUAAAGUACUUUCAGCGGGGAGGCGUUACCCGCAGAAAAAGCACCGGCUAACUCCGUGCCAGCCGCCGCGGUAAUAC
rnacentral:rRNA from 1 species